rnacentral:rRNA from 1 species
AGCGAACGCUGGCGGCAGGCUUAACACAUGCAAGUCGAGCGGGCAUAGCAAUAUGUCAGCGGCAGACGGGUGAGUAACGCGUGGGAACGUACCUUUUGGUUCGGAACAACUGAGGGAAACUUCAGCUAAUACCGGAUAAGCCCUUACGGGGAAAGAUUUAUCGCCGAAAGAUCGGCCCGCGUCUGAUUAGCUAGGUGGUGAGGUAAUGGCUCACCAAGGCGACGAUCAGUAGCUGGUCUGAGAGGAUGAUCAGCCACAUUGGGACUGAGACACGGCCCAAACUCCUACGGGAGGCAGCAGUGGGGAAUAUUGGACAAUGGGCGCAAGCCUGAUCCAGCCAUGCCGCGUGAGUGAUGAAGGCCCUAGGGUUGUAAAGCUCUUUUGUGCGGGAAGAUAAUGACGGUACCGCAAGAAUAAGCCCCGGCUAACUUCGUG